GGAGCCGUAGCUCAGAUGGUAGAGCGCUUGCUUAGCAUGCACGAGGUAGCUGGAUCGAUACCAGCCGGUUCCC